CUGUCCCUCUGUCAUCUGGCUUACUUUCUCCUUUCCAAAUUGCUAACAAAUGACCAUAUUUUGGACCAGAAGAAGCAGAAGCUUGAGAUGAAAACUGGCUUCUGCUCUGUGGGAAAAGGGAGGCCACCCGGCACAUCCUUCUAUGCUGUCACCUGGCAAGGCCUUCCUCACAUAUCAUGUCUGUUAAAUGAUGCUUGCUUCAACCCUUCUCAAAUGCACUUAAAAUUGCCCACAGAGCUCAAGAGCCACUUAAUCAGUAAGGAGUGCACUGGCAGUGCUAUGGACUGAGAUUCCUUUAAAAUAGCUAAGCCACAACCCAGACCAACUGAUGAGUGACAAGACUGAUGCAUAAACCCAGAAGGAGAACAAAGCCUGCUAUUCUUGCUCUCAAAUGUGUGCUUUUCAAAGUUAUUAAUCCUAUAUGUGUUGGCAAUAAACUUUUAAUGAUCUUC